rnacentral:rRNA from 1 species
CGGCGAGUGAAGCGGCAACAGCUCAAAUUUGAAAUCUGGCUCUCUUUGGGGGUCCGAGUUGUAAUUUGCAGAGGAUGCUUUGGCAUUGGCGGCGGUCUAAGUUCCUUGGAACAGGACAUCACAGAGGGUGAGAAUCCCGUACGUGGUCGCCUGCCUUUGCCGUGUAAAGCUCCUUCGACGAGUCGAGUUGUUUGGGAAUGCAGCUCUAAAUGGGAGGUAAAUUUCUUCUAAAGCUAAAUACUGGCCAGAGACCGAUAGCGCACAAGUAGAGUGAUCGAAAGAUGAAAAGUACUUUGGAAAGAGAGUCAAAAAGCACGUGAAAUUGUUGAAAGGGAAGCGCUUGCAGCCAGACUUGCCCGCAGUUGCUCACCUAGGCUUUCGCCUGGGGCACUCUUCUGCGGGCAGGCCAGCAUCAGUUUGGGCGGUUGGAUAAAGGCCUCUGUCACGUAUCUCCCUUCGGGGUGACCUUAUAGGGGAGGCGUAAUGCAACCAGCCCGGACUGAGGUCCGCGCAUCUGCUAGGAUGCUGGCGUAAUGGCUGUAAGCGGCCCGUCUUGAAACACGGACCAAGGAGUCUAACAUCUAUG